CUUCGGCAUCGANNGUACGCGCACGCACCACGUCAGUGACGCAGCAAGACUUUCUUGUGCUAUACGGAGAUUCCUGUAUUUGCUACCUACGCUUAAAGGAACGGUGCCGCUCGCUACCCUUUCCUUCCCCGAGCAUGCGCUCGUGGGGAGGACAUCAUAGUAGCUCCUGUGCCCCUCGCAUCGAGCAUSCCGUAAAAAGGCCCGCACGUUGCGACKGUUCUCGGGUUGCUGCUUGACGGUUCGGAUACRGAACAUUCGGUGGGSUKGGGUGUCUCGACACCUUUCGAUGUCCAAAUUCAAGCGUUUUGUCRCUAGACAUGUACGACUGCCACGCUCGCCGCGGGUCUCCCGCGCGGUGCGUGGCGUCGGCAAAGGAAUGCUACCUGGUUGAUCCUGCCAGUAGUCAUAUGCUUGUCUCAAAGAUUAAGCCAU
rnacentral:misc_RNA from 1 species